rnacentral:misc_RNA from 1 species
AACGCACCUUGCGCCCUCUGGUAUUCCGGAGGGCAUGCCUGUUUGAGUGUCAUUAAAUUCUCAACUUCAAUAGUUUUUAUUAACUCGUUGAAGCUUGGAUGUGGAGGUUUGCUGGCGUCUCAGAUGUUCGGCUCCUCUUAAAUGCAUUAGUGGAACCCGUUUGUUGGAUCAUAUCUUGGUGUGAUAAUUAUCUACGCUUUGGUUAGUUCAACGGACUCUGUAUGGGCUUUAUCAGACUCGUUCUGGAGUGGGUUUUGCGCACUAGUGUGCUUUACCUGGCUCAUUAUAGAGUAGGGAUUGUCUGCUUUCUAACUGUCUGUAUAGUACGGACAACACUUUGACUAUUUGACCUCAAAUCAGGUAGGACUACCCGCUGAACUUAA